rnacentral:misc_RNA from 1 species
GAUGAAGAACGUAGCGAAAUGCGAUAAGUAAUGUGAAUUGCAGAAUUCAGUGAAUCAUCGAGUCUUUGAACGCACAUUGCGCCCCCUGGUAUUCCGGGGGGCAUGCCUGUCCGAGCGUCAUUGCCGCCCUCAAGCACGGCUUGUGUGUUGGGCCCCCGCCCCCCGGCUUCGGGGGGCGGGCCCGAAAGGCAGCGGCGGCACCGCGUCCGGGCCUCGAGCGUAUGGGGCUUCGUCCCCCGCUCUGUAGGCCCGGCCGGCGCCCGCCGGCGACCCCAAUCAAUCUUUCCAGGUUGACCUCGGAUCAGGUAGGGAUACCCGCUGAACUUAAGCAUAUCAAUAAGCGGAGGA